rnacentral:lncRNA from 1 species
UCUCUAGUGCUGAUGCUGAAUAACCACAUAAUCAUGCAUUUGCAGAGUGGCAUUUUCUACCAAAUGCAAGAAUUGAAUUAGAUAAGAGAAAUUUAUUGAGUUUCCUUAUUUUAAAACUCUUCAAAACUCACAAAGAGCACUUUUUCUAAUCACUACAUUGAAUAGCAUUAAUUUGGAGACAUGAUGUGGAGCAUGGAUGUACAGCUGGAAUCCACGACUGUCCAUUCAUAGAUACACAAAAUGGAGAUGUAUACAAAGAGAUUACCAUAAAAUAUUUGAGAGA